rnacentral:rRNA from 1 species
AAGGCGUGGGGGCUGCCUUACACAUGCAGUCGACGAUGAAGCCCAGCUUGCUGGGUGGAUUAGUGGCGAACGGGUGAGUAACACGUGAGUAACCUGCCCUUAACUCUGGGAUAAGCCUGGGAAACUGGGUCUAAUACCGGAUAGGAGCGUCCACCGCAUGGUGGGUGUUGGAAAGAUUUAUCGGUUUUGGAUGGACUCGCGGCCUAUCAGCUUGUUGGUGAGGUAAUGGCUCACCAAGGCGACGACGGGUAGCCGGCCUGAGAGGGUGACCGGCCACACUGGGACUGAGACACGGCCCAGACUCCUACGGGAGGCAGCAGUGGGGAAUAUUGCACAAUGGGCGAAAGCCUGAUGCAGCGACGCCGCGUGAGGGAUGACGGCCUUCGGGUUGUAAACCUCUUUCAGUAGGGAAGAAGCGAAAGUGACGGUACCUGCAGAAGAAGCACCGGCUAACUACGUGCCAGCAGCCGCGGUAAUACGUAGGGUGCGAGCGUUAUCCGGAAUUAUUGGGCGUAAAGAGCUCGUAGGCGGUUUGUCGCGUCUGUCGUGAAAGUCCGGGGCUUAACCCCGGAUCUGCGGUGGGUACGGGCAGACUAGAGUGCAGUAGGGGAGACUGGAAUUCCUGGUGUAGCGGUGGAAUGCGCAGAUAUCAG